rnacentral:rRNA from 1 species
UGAAUACGAGAUGCUACGGCGUCGAAGCAGUCUAUGUCAUACUUCCAAGAAAAGCUUGCACUGUCAUAAACAAAUAAUGCCUGUACCAUAACCGACACAGGUGGGUAGGUAGAGUAUACUAAGGGGCGCGAGAUAACUCUCUCUAAGGAACUCGGCAAAAUGACUCCGUAACUUCGGGAGAAGGAGUGCCUUAUUUAUAAGGUUGCAAUAACAAGAUCCAAGCAACUGUUUACCAAAAACACAGGUCUCCGCUAAGUCGUAAGACGAUGUAUGGGGGCUGACGCCUGCCCAGUGCCAGAAGGUUAAAGAAGUUGGUUAGCAUCCGCGAAGCUGAUAACUGAAGCCCUGGUGAACGGCGGCCGUAACAAUAACGGUCCUAAGGUAGCGAAAUUCCUUGUCGAGUAAGUUCCGACCCGCACGAAAGGCGUAAUGAUUUGGAUACUGUCUCGGAGAGGGGCUCGGUGAAAUAGACUUGUCUGUGAAGAUGCGGACUACCUGCACCAGGACAGAAAGACCCUAUGAAGCUUUACUGUAACCUGAAAUUGAAAUUGGACUUUACUUGCGCAGUAUAGGUGGGAGGCGUUGAGAAUAUUCUUGCGGGAUUAUUGGAGCCAUCAGUGAGAUACCACUCUUGUAAUGUUAGAUUUCUAACUUUGUAUCAUUAUCUGGUCAAAGAACAGUUUCAGGCGGGCAGUUUGACUGGGGCGCUCGCCUCCUAAACGGUAACGGAGGCGCACAAAGGUUUCCUCUGAACGGGUAGAAAUCGUAUCUAGAGUGUAAAGGCAUAAGGAAGCUUGACUGUGAGACCUACAAGUCGAGCAGGGACGAAAGUCGGUCUUAGUGAUCUGACGGUGCUGAGUGGAAAGGCCGUCACUCAACGGAUAAAAGUUACUCUAAGGAUAACAGGCUGAUCUCCCCCAAGAGUUCACAUCGACGGGGAGGUUUGGCACCUCGAUGUCGGCUCACCGCAUCCUGGGGCGGUAGUACGUCCCAAGGGUUGGGCUGUUCGCCCAUGAAAGCGGUACGCGAGCUGGGUUCAGAACGUCGUGAGACAGUUCGGUCCAUAUCCGGUGUAGGCGUUAGAAUAUUGAGAGGAGCCUUCUUUAGUACGAGAGGACCGAGAAGGACAUACCUCUGGUGUACCAGUUAUCGUGCCAACGGUAAACGCUGGGUAGCUAUGUGUGGAGUGGAUAACCGCUGAAAGCAUCUAAGUGGGAAGCCCACCUCGAGAUAAG